GGUCUGAAGUUAGUGAGUUAUCUCGAUUGUUCAGUCAGUUACAGAUCGAACUCCUUGUUCUACUCUUUCCCCCCUUCUCACUGCAGCAUUUUAAAAAAAUCUGAA
ensembl:Y_RNA Y_RNA Y RNA